rnacentral:rRNA from 1 species
ACGAACGCUGGCGGCGUGCUUAACACAUGCAAGUCGAACGGGCAUAGAUUGAAGCUUGCUUGAUCUAUGUUAGUGGCGGACGGGUGAGUAACGCGUGAGCAACUUGCCUUGGACAGUGGAAUAACACAGGGAAACUUGUGCUAAUACCGCAUGAAGUGCGGAGGGGGCAUCCCUUCUGUACCAAAGGAAGCAAUUCCGGUCUGAGAUGGGCUCGCGUCCGAUUAGAUAGUUGGUGAGGUAACGGCCCACCAAGUCGACGAUCGGUAGCCGGACUGAGAGGUUGGCCGGCCACAUUGGGACUGAGACACGGCCCAGACUCCUACGGGAGGCAGCAGUGGGGAAUAUUAGGCAAAAUGGGGGAAACCCUGACCUAGCAACGCCGCGUGAAGGAUGAAGGUUUUCGGAUUGUAAACUUCUUUGGCAGGGGACGAUAAUGACGGUACCCUGAGAACAAGCCACGGCUAACUACGUGCCAGCCGCCGC